rnacentral:tRNA from 1 species
GGCGUGUUGGUCAAGUGGUUAAGACACCGCCCUUUCACGGCGGUAACAUGGGUUCGACCCCCGUACACGCCACCA